UAAAAUAAAAAAAGAUAAUUUCGGAGAAAAUCAUAAAAAAAACCAUGCGGAGAAACACUGUAGCAAUCAACAAUGUUUUAAAGAAAAAAAAUUACAAAAAAAAUUCUCAAUCAGCUCCAUAUUAAAAAAAAUCAACAAAUAUAAUUUUAAAAAAUAAAGAAAUAAAAUAGAAAAACUAUGUGGAAAAACAUCGUAGCAAUCCACAGUAUUUAAAAAAAAAAUUACAAAGCAAAAAUUUUAACCAGGUCAAUAUUUAAAAAGUAAAAUCAACAAAACUAAUUUUGGAAAAAAUAAAUGAAAAAAAA
rnacentral:lncRNA from 1 species